GACGAACGCUGGCGGCGUGCUUAACACAUGCAAGUCGAACGGAAAGGCCCUGCUUUUGUGGGGUGCUCGAGUGGCGAACGGGUGAGUAACACGUGAGUAACCUGCCCUUGACUUUGGGAUAACUUCAGGAAACUGGGGCUAAUACCGGAUAGGAGCUCCUGCUGCAUGGUGGGGGUUGGAAAGUUUCGGCGGUUGGGGAUGGACUCGCGGCUUAUCAGCUUGUUGGUGGGGUAGUGGCUUACCAAGGCUUUGACGGGUAGCCGGCCUGAGAGGGUGACCGGCCCCUUGGGGUCUGAGUUCCCGCCCGGACCCUUCGGGGGGGGAGGAGGGGGGAAUUUUGCCCAAGGGGCGGAAGCCGGAUGCAGCAACCCCGGGGGCGGGAAGGCGGCCUUCGGGUUGGAACCCGCUUUCGCCUGUGACGAAGGGGGGGUAGCGGAAAUGGGGAAAAAGGCCCCGGCAAACUCCGU
rnacentral:rRNA from 1 species